rnacentral:rRNA from 1 species
UGGGGAAUCUUGCACAAUGGGGGAAACCCUGAUGCAGCGACGCCGCGUGAACGAUGAAGCCCUUCGGGGUGUAAAGUUCUUUCGACGGGGACGAUAAUGACGGUACCCGGAGAAGAAGCUGCGGCUAACUACGUGCCAGCAGCCGCGGUAAUACGUAGGCAGCAAGCGUUGUUCGGAAUUACUGGGCGUAAAGAGUGCGUAGGCGGUUAACUAAGUUUGGUGUGAAAUCUCCCGGCUUAACUGGGAGGGU